GCAGCUGCCGCUGGGGCUGCUGCGGGCGCCGCUCAGUCGGAGCGCGCCUCCGCCGGGCCCGCCCGGAGCCCCGCAGCAAUGCGUUUGCUCCUUAACCACUUGGUGGCUUCCUUUUGUUAAGGGCCGUGUGCGGGGCGAUAGCCGCCCAAGGCCGGAACCCCUGAUCUCUAACCCCGAGCUUCCCGCUUGUGCCUCCAUCGCGGGAGCCCUGGGAUGCGCUGUCCGCCGGGCUCACUUCCUGGACGCUGACUAAAUGGAGAAACGAUUAGCUUGCCGAGUGGGAAAGAAAAGAAAAGGAAGCAAAAUAAGAAUGGUCACCACCCCAGCAGUUCCCUUCCCUUGAAGAAAAAAGGAAAGAGAAAGCAACCCACAGAGGAGCUUAUGAAAGCAACUUUGCUGAAUGCCUGUCCUUAGACGAUGUAACUCAAAAUACUUGGAAAAUCACACUAUCCUCCUCCAAACGAGGCACCACACUUUUCCAGCUCUGUAGGAUGAAGUUGUCCCAGGAAAAUAAAACUGUUGAUAAACCAUGGUUCCAAACUGUUACUUAUUUUACAACCCUCGGUUUGCAAUCUAUCACAGCCAGGGCCUAACAGGGCUGACUCCAACUUUUCAUUUGUUUAUAGUGUGUGCUAUGUUUUAUGCCUCACAUACACCAUGUCAGCUACGUAAAAUAAUGCAUUCUUUUGAUCGCAUCCUGGAUCCACCUCCACAAUGGUUUUUGUUUAAAAUAAAGGCCAUGGUUAUUUUCCAUUAAUACAGAAUGGAAGCCUCAAUCCAGCCUCAAUCCUAGACAUCUGAGAAACAUUUCUUAAAAAUCCAGUACUGAUAUGGAAAAAGCAAAGAAAGAGCUCAUGUUUACUUCAUUUGCAAAGUGCAGUUGAAUCUAUUUAACUUGACCAGCUUUAAUACAAUCUUAUAAACCAUGAGCUUGCUUCUGCUUCAAGAAAGCCAAUAUGCUGCCUUGAGCUCCAAAUUCUGUAUUUCUCAUUGCCAUGUCAUCAAAUAAACCUGUGCUUCUCUUGUUUUUGCUAAGUAAAUGGCUCAUCUAUGGCAGAUAACUUUUCUGGUGCAUCAAUCACACUAUGUUAUCCUGACUCCUCUUAACAACUACAAAGAAAUCCUAGAAUCUUGGGAUUUUGAGCAAGAGGAAAUCUGACUUCACCUGGGAAGAAACUGAGACAGAAGUUAAAUGACAGCCCACUUUCACACUGGCACUUAGAAGCUCCCAGACCUUCCCUUGGUCUCUCUGCUACCCCCAGCCUCUUGUGUAGAGCAGAAUGUAGGAAAUAGAAAAAAGGGCUUAGUAACAACAUUUCAGAAAUCACAGAGACACCAAGGGACUGCAGUAACAGAAUGAACAGGCUGUGGAAAGAGUUAGGAAUGAUAAAUACAGGUGAUAAAAUGAGUUUCAAAGAAUCAGGAUCCAGAUGUUAAUAGGGAAACCAUGGUCAGGGCAGAAGCUGUAUAGAAAACUAAUCUGGCAAAAUAAGGAUUGUGGAGAAAAAGUAAGUGGUUUUUAAGAUGUCUCAAGCAGGUUGUGAAAGUUACAUCAAGAAAAGAAAGGAAAUACCCUGAGAAUGUUCAUAGACAGGCAAAAGGAGAGAAUAUGAGUGCAGCAAGCAAGUUGGAGUCCAAGAAGAUUCUGGGCAAUGCCUUUGAGAAAGAUAGGGUGACAAACUGCCUCAUGAGAAUGAACUAGUAGAAGGGCAGAGAGAAAAAGAAAUGGCUGCAAUCAAGGUGAAUUGUAGGCAAUUGUGAGAGGUUCAUCCCAGGAGUACGAUGAGAAUGCUGGGGACUGAUCCAUGCCCAGAGUGCCUCAACUGCACGAGAUGGAGGGUGUCCUAAAACCACUCGCAUCUCAGAUGGAGCAGCAUGCUGUCGAUGGCACUCAGUAGCUCAACGCCAU